rnacentral:rRNA from 1 species
CCUACGGGUGGCAGCAGUGGGGAAUAUUGGGCAAUGGGCGCAAGCCUGACCCAGCAACGCCGCGUGAAGGAAGAAGACUUUCGGGUUGUAAACUUCUGUUCUCAGGGACGAAGCAAGUGACGGUACCUGAGGAAUAAGCCACGGCUAACUACGCGCCAGCAGCCGCGGGAAUACGUAGGGGGCAAGCGUUAUCCGGAUUGACUGGGUGUAAAGGGCGGGUAGGCGGGACUGCAAGUCAGAUGUGAAAACCACGGGCUCAACCUGGGGCCUGCAUUUGAAACUGUAGUUCUUGAGUACUGGAGAGGCAGCCGGAAUUCCUAGUGUAGCGGUGAAAUGCGUAGAUAUUAGGAGGAACACCAGUGGCGAAGGCGGUCUGCUGGACAGCAACUGACGCUGAGGCGCGAAAGCGUGGGGAGCAAACAGGAUUAGAUACCCCAGUAGUC